rnacentral:rRNA from 1 species
GACGAACGCUGGCGGCGUGCUUAACACAUGCAAGUCGAACGGAAAGGCCCUGCUUUUGUGGGGUGCUCGAGUGGCGAACGGGUGAGUAACACGUGAGUAACCUGCCCUUGACUUUGGGAUAACUUCAGGAAACUGGGGCUAAUACCGGAUAGGAGCUCCUGCUGCAUGGUGGGGGUAGGAAAGUUUCGGCGGUUGGGGAUGGACUCGCGGCUUAUCAGCUUGUUGGUGGGGUAGUGGCUUACCAAGGCUUUGACGGGUAGCCGGCCUGAGGGGGUGACCGGGCACAAUGGGACUACGAGACGGCGCAGACUCCUACGGGAGGCAGCAGUGGGGAAUAUUGUACAGUGGGCGGAAGCCUGAGGCGGCGACGCCGCGGGCGGGAUGCCGGCCUGCGGGUUGUAAACCGCUUUCGCCUGUGACGAAGCGUGAGUGACGGUAAUGGGUAAAGAAGCACCGGCUAACUACGUG